rnacentral:lncRNA from 1 species
CACAUUUUGUACAAAUUGUAAUUUGUACAAAGUCAAAAUACAAAUUAUAAUUUGUACAUAAUUUUUGUACAAAUUAUAAUUUGUAAAAAAUGAUAACUUGUACACAACAUAUAUAUAUAAAUCAGAAAUUAUCAAUGGGAAGAAACAAAAAAAAUAUGACCCCCACCCCACAAUAAAAAAAUAGUUUGAACCCUUCUUCGAGUUAUUACCCCCAAACUUUCCAUUUGUAGUAUGGUACCUUGUGCUAGAAUAACAGAGAAAUCCAAUCACUUAAAUAAAAGUAAUUGUCAGCUGGAAACUGCAAAAAAACUUCUUAAUGGCCUUUUUUCGUCCCCAAUUCUUCUUUACCUGAUGGUACCAAAACCCUGAAAAUCAAUCCCAAGCUUCCUAUUUUGAUAUUGAACCAUCUGGAAAAUUUCAUAGAGAUCGACUGAGACGACAUCAUACCAAGAUACGACGCCAAGAAAUGUUUGCAGUCGGUUGCUGUUUAUUUAUUAAAUUAAAAAAAAAUGCAUUAUUGACACUUUCUUGAAACUUGAUACAAAUAAAUAAUCUUUAUACAUAUGAAAACAAACGUUAUCUAAAAUUAAAAAAAUGUGUCCAUGAACUUGUUUUCAAAUUAAAUCAGUUUGAAUGAUAAAAAUCAAUCGAAUUAUACAUCUUUUACCGGUAUGUCCCAGUUUGACGUCGCAAAAACAAUAUUUUACGUUAACGGCGUCAAAAAAAAUGUUACCUCCCCCUGUAACUAUAUCGUAUGCCAUUAAACUUUGACCUUGGUCCAGUCACAACUUCCCACAUUAGCCUAUGUAAUUAUUCGCUUAUUGCUGUUUCAAAGAAAGAUUGAAUGCAUAGAAUCAUCAA